CAGCCGCCGCGGGAAUACGUAGGGUGCAAGCGUUAAUCGGAAUUACUGGGCGUAAAGCGUGCGCAGGCGGUUCGGAAAGAAAGGUGUGAAAUCCCAGGGCUUAACCUUGGAACUGCACUUUUAACUACCGGGCUAGAGUGUGUCAGAGGGGGGUGGAAUUCCGCGUGUAGCAGUGAAAUGCGUAGAGAUGCGGAGGAACACCGAUGGCGAAGGCAGCCCCCUGGGAUAACACUGACGCUCAUGCACGAAAGCGUGGGGAGCAAACAGGAUUAGAUACCCCGGUAGUCCCUGUCUCUUAUAC
rnacentral:rRNA from 1 species